UGUCCCUUCCAUUUGGGAUAAUCCUACUAUGACAUGCGUUGAUGAUAACGUCAGUGUAUGAAGCUCAUAGGACAAUAUGGAGAAAUUUGAAAGUCUAAUUAAAAUAAUCUGUUAGGAUAAGACUACUAAGAAG
rfam:Methanolobus psychrophilus R15, complete genome.